rnacentral:rRNA from 1 species
CAGCAGUAGCCGCGGUAAUACAGAGGGUGCGAGCGUUAAUCGGAUUUACUGGGCGUAAAGCGUGCGUAGGCGGCUUCUUAAGUCGGAUGUGAAAUCCCUGAGCUUAACUUAGGAAUUGCAUUCGAUACUGGGAAGCUAGAGUAUGGGAGAGGAUGGUAGAAUUCCAGGUGUAGCGGUGAAAUGCGUAGAGAUCUGGAGGAAUACCGAUGGCGAAGGCAGCCAUCUGGCCUAAUACUGACGCUGAGGUACGAAAGCAUGGGGAGCAAACAGGAUUAGAUACCCCCGUAGUCCCUGUCUCUUAUAU